CCCCCCCCUUUUGAGGAUUCCCACAUGGAUACAGAUCUGCCAUGUAUUUCACCGCCACUGCCUCACCCAGAAGUACAUACACUGGGCCUAUCAGGACUGACAAAGCAGAGAUGGGGGACUGGCAAGGGAAAAUAAAACAUGCACUCACACACAUUAUCCACAAUGUAAAUCAGUUGUAAUAACUUGUUUAUUUUAUGUAUGCUCCAUUUUAUUUGGGAAAAAUAUCUGCAAUAAAGUACCUUCACAGUUAAAGCAA